rnacentral:misc_RNA from 1 species
AACUUUUGGCAACGGAUCACUUGGUUAUGGCAUCGAUGAAGAGCGCAGCGAAAUGCGAUAAGUAAUGUGAAUUGCAGAAUUCAGUGAAUCAUCGAAUCUUUGAACGCACAUUGCGCCCCCUGGUAUUCCGGGGGGCAUGCCUGUUCGAGCGUCAUUAUAACCCUCAAGCUCAGCUUGGUGUUGGGGCCUGCCGUCAGCGGCAGCCCUUAAAAUCAGUGGCGGCGCCAUCUGGCUCUAAGCGUAGUAAUUCAUCUCGCUAUAGGGUCUCGAUGGAUGCUGGCCAGCAACCCCCAAUUUUCUAUGGUUGACCUCGGAUCAGGUAGGGAUACCCGCUGAACUUAAGCAUAUCAAUAAGCGGAGGCU